rnacentral:lncRNA from 1 species
AUUCACAGUCAAGUCAUGUGGAACUACACAACUUCCUUUUUGUGCAUUGGAGCUGGAAAUCUCGUUGAGUUUGGGAGGCCUUACUUCUGCAUAUUUGAAUCUGGUGACCAAAUUAAACAUUGUUCUAACUGCAGUUACCAUCCUCAAAUACAAAAGUAAUUGAUACUCAGCAAUGAAAGCUGCAUGUGCAUGUAGGGGAGAGAAGGAGGUUUCACCAGACUGACAAAUGGAGUCAUGGUUCUGGGAAGGAGCAGGGUGUUGGGUGCACAUUUGUCACCUGGGAAUACUACCAGCAAGCCUCAUAUUUUUUCUGCAAUAAAUGCUGGAAAGGAAAAAGAAAUGCUGAAAAUGAUGAAGUAAUUCCAAUUCUGCUGAUAGAGACCUGGAAAUGCACUAGGGAAAAAUGACAAGAGUGUAACACACUGCUGCUGAUUAUGUCAUAAUGAUUAUUUUAUGCAGUUUGAAGAAGACUCACUGUUCUAAAGAACCAGCAUCCAUUUCCAGGAAAGAGCAGGGAUUCUCCAUCCAUACCUCCAUGGGAUGAACCACAUUGAAAAUAAUGAUUUCCUUCUAAUAGCUUACUCUACAUUAUAUAAAGAAUUCCUUGGGAUUCUAAAAAAACCCUAAUAAUAUAGUAAUAAUAACAACAGAGGUUUGUUUUUGCUAUUUGUAGUCUAAUAUUCAGAUUGUGAGCAGCUGUUUUGGAAGGCAAGAUGAGUGAAUAGAUGUGAAGUCGUCUUAGAAAUGUCCAGGCUUCCAAAAGAAAUUUCACUUUUAAAAGAAAAUAGCCUAAUGUGAACCACAUUAGAAUCAGCACAUCUAAUCCUACGGAGAAAAAGUGACCAUGGCUGUCUACACAUAUAGGCAGGUCAUUCAAGCUCAUUCAAAAAUUCCACUUUCACUGGUGGUCUGUCUGUGUCCACAUGGUGACAAAUGGCCCCGGCAGGGUUUUUGAGGUGUUGGCACCACCAGUGAGUGCCAGAUGGAAUGUGGUGAAAGUUCUGAUUUGUACCUUUCAGACUAAAGGUACUUUCCAGAAUGGACGGGUCCUUCUGGCUGCCUUUUGUAAGUGCAGCCACAGGUAUUCUGUUGAAGCCUGUGGGUGAGAAAGACAUAAACAGGUGCUAUAAAUUUGUCAGACCAGGAAGCCACAGGCCGUUUAGUAAAUGGUAAACCCAAUGGCCCAAAAGAACAAAGGGGUCUCUUUUCAUCAGAAUGAUCAGGCUCAUUCAACAAAUAUUUAUUGAGCACCCACUUUCUGCCAGAUGGAAGAGCCACUGACAAGGCCUCUUAUUUAAAGAGUGCCUGAAGUGAGGAAGCAAACCCCCAAAUCAUCUGGGAUGGUAUGAACUGAACUCUGGACCGCAACAUGAUGGAAAGGAGGAGCUGGGGUCCCAAGGGCAGUCCAGACAACCUGAACCUGUGACACUCACCCUGCCCACACACUCUCAGAGCUGCAGCUUUCACGGGGGUGACAUGAAUGCUUGUAAAUGAGCUUGCUGAAUGGGAGACCAAGAACGAUGAUAUUGAGCUGUUACUACAUGCCAGACAUUUAACCCUUUCAUCCAGGUUAUCUCAAUCAUUCCUUACAGAAAGGCUUUUGAGAUGUCCUUGCAACUGGAGGUGCCAUAUGAUACAGUUCUGCCCAAAGACAAGAAAGUGAAUGUCUGUUGAGGGCUUCCUAUAAGGCCAAUACAUACAGGUGUUCCCAACAACAGAUGCUUCUGGACUUGUUAUCCUGUGUCAUUUCUACCUGGUGCCAGUUUUUGACAAAUGAUAGUAGCAAGUUGUGGACACAGCAAGAAGAUGGCUGUCUAUGAACCUGAAUAUGUCUAGCCCUCACCAGACACUGAAUCUGAGAGAACCUUGAUCUUGGAUUUCCAGCCUCCAGAGUUGUGAGAGCUAAAUUUCUGUUGUUUGUAAACCACCCAGUCUAUGGUAUUCUGUUACAGCAGCCUGAACAGGCUAAUAUAAAGACAAUAAGGAGAAUUUGCUAGCAAGAUGGAAGCCACAAUCUUUUGUAACCUAAUCACAGAAGUGACAGCCUAUCACUUUUGCCUUAUUGUGUUUAUUAGAAGCAAGUCACUAGGUCUAGCCUACCCUCAGGGGAAAGAAAUUCCACCAGGGCACAAAUGCCAGGAGAUGGGUAUCAGUGGAGACCAUCUGAGAAGUCUGCCUACUAAGGCUUUCCAUGUCUACCUCCGAACAAGGGAAUCUAUCAUGAUUAUUGCAUGUGCCCUGAGCACUGGGUUUAGAUGACAUUAAGCAGAAUCAAGGUAAUUGUUCAGGAAACCUUCAGCGGGAGAGUCUGCCCUGUGUCUAGUUUCUCUUUUGCUUCAGAAAAUACUUACUUGAAUUGUUUCUAACUUAAUAAUACUUUGUGUUACCUGAGGGUCUCUAAAGGCUUGGUAAGCAUCAGAACAAAAAAUUUCUUCUCCACUUUCUAGGAGUUCUUAGAUCAUUAUUUUGCUGGUACAGUAACUGGCUCUCCUAAUCCACUGUGAAGCUUGCUUAUUUACUGUGCGGAUGGUUUGGACCAUCAAAAGUGUAGAGUUAAAAUAACCAGGGGAGAGAAUAUUAGACCCAGAAUCAAAGUAGCCUAAAGUUACCUCUUUAGGUACCUUGUUUCUCCCAUGUGCAAACUGUAAGCUCAAGUGUCUUUUCUCAGGUGGUCACAAUGUAGUUUGAGACUAGAGGGAUUGUGGAUGAAGAUGCUCUGAGUUAUUUAGAAGAGAUGCACUACAUC